GGUCUCGUAGUUCAAUGGAUAGAACACCGCUGAUUUCGUAGCGGAGAUUAUGGGUUCGAAGCCCAUCGAGGCGA
rnacentral:tRNA from 1 species